rnacentral:rRNA from 1 species
CGUGCAGGCGGGAGAACAAGUCUGAUGUGAAAGCCCUGGGCUUAACCUGGGAAGUGCAUUGGAAACUGUUUUUCUUGAGUACUGGAGAGGAAGGGAGAAUUCCCGGUGUAGAGGUGAAAUUCGUAGAGAUCGGGAGGAACACCAGUGGCGAAGGCGCCCUUCUGGACGGUUACUGACGCUGAGACGCGAAAGCGUGGGGAGCAAACA